UGGGGAAUAUUGCACAAUGGGCGCAAGCCUGAUGCAGCCAUGCCGCGUGUAUGAAGAAGGCCUUCGGGUUGUAAAGUACUUUCAGCGGGGAGGAAGGGAGUAAAGUUAAUACCUUUGCCCAUUGACGUUACCCGCAGAAGAAGCACCGGCUAACUCCGUGCCAGCAGCCGCGGUAAUACGGAGGGUGCAAGCGUUAAUCGGAAUUACUGGGCGUAAAGCGCACGCAGGCGGUUUGUUAAGUCAGAUGUGAAAUCCCCGGGCUCAACCUGGGAACUGCAUCUGAUACUGGCAAGCUUGAGUCUCGUAGAGGGGGGUAGAAUUCCAGGUGUAGCGGUGAAAUGCGUAGAGAUCUGGAGGAAUACCGGUGGCGAAGGCGGCCCCCUGGACGGAGACUGACGCUCAGGUGCGAAAGCGUGGGGAGCAAACAGG
rnacentral:rRNA from 1 species